UACGGAGGGUGCAAGCGUUAAUCGGAAUUACUGGGCGUAAAGCGCACGCAGGCGGUCUGUCGAGUCGGAUGUGAAAUCCCCGGGCUCAACCUGGGAACUGCAUUCGAAACUGGCAGGCUAGAGUCUUGUAGAGGGGGGUAGAAUUCCAGGUGUAGCGGUGAAAUGCGUAGAGAUCUGGAGGAAUACCGGUGGCGAAGGCGGCCCCCUGGACAAAGACUGACGCUCAGGUGCGAAAGCGUGGGGAGCAAACAGG
rnacentral:rRNA from 1 species